rnacentral:rRNA from 1 species
GAUGAACGCUGGCGGCGUGCCUAAUACAUGCAAGUCGAGCGAACAGAUAAGGAGCUUGCUCCUUUGACGUUAGCGGCGGACGGGUGAGUAACACGUGGGUAACCUACCUAUAAGACUGGAAUAACUCCGGGAAACCGGGGCUAAUGCCGGAUAACAUUUAGAACCGCAUGGUUCUAAAGUGAAAGAUGGUUUUGCUAUCACUUAUAGCUGGACCUGCGCCGUAUUAGCUAGUUGGUAAGGUAACGGCUUACCAAGGCAACGAUACGUAGCCGACCUGAGAGGGUGAUCGGCCACACGGGAACUGAGACACGGUCCAGACUCCUACGGGAGGCAGCAGUAGGGUAUCUUCCGCAAUGGGCGAAAGCCUGACGGAGCAACGCCGCGUGAGUGAUGAAGGUCUUCGGAUCGUAAAACUCUGUUAUUAGGGAAGAACAGAUGUGUAAGUAACUGUGCACGUCUUGACGGUACCUAAUCAGAAAGCCACGGCUAACUACGUG